UUUUUUUUUUGAGAUAGGAUCUGAUAUAACCUAGGCCAGGCUUGAACUUAGCAGAAGUUAGUCCUUAACUCUUCCUUUUUUAAAUUAAAUUAAAUUUUAUGUGUAUGGAUGGUUUACAUGCAUGUCUAUCUGUAUACUACUUUUUCCUGGUGCCUGAGUAGUGUAUAAGAGAUCAGAUACCCCUGGGCCUAGAGUUAUAGAAGUUUGUGAGCUGUUAUGUGUGUGCGCAGGGAAUCGAUCCUAGAUUCUCUGAAACCAGUACUCCUAACCACUCAGCCAUGUCUUCCAUGUCUUGAGCCCCUAGUCCAGAAUUCUUGUUCUUUCUAUCUCCAUUUUCUAAGUCCUAUGAUAUGAUAUAUGUGUGUACUACCAUAACUUCAUUGGUGUUGUAUGUGGUUUUGUUUUGUGUGUCUGUUUUAUUGUUUUUGCCAGUCUACCCAUCCUCAGAAAUAUGAAAUCAAUGACCAUAUUUUUCAAUCAUACAGCAUUUUUUCCCCAUUAAAUUGGCCACUAAAUAUCUCCUGGGUUUAGUUGGUGGUGGGCAACUUAAUUAACUUAACUUUCUUAAUUCAUUUGUAAACUGAUUUACUAUUAUCUGAAUGUAACUUCAUUUCAGGGUGAUAAAGCCUUUUGUUUGAUCUUUUCUGCAUCACAUAAUACCCUGCCCCAGUUAGAUCUUAUUGGCAUUUUAACUCAGUUGAAUGUAUUUAGGGUGUGAUUUUAUUAUAUUUUAGUGCUGUUAAUGAUAAUUACUAUUAAUAAAUAGUAAUUUCUAUAUGUAUAUUUAAAGCAGUGUGCUAUAUGGCUGGUUCUCUAAAAGUACACUGAUUCUGACAGUCUGUAUACUGCCUCACAUUUCUAUACCGUGCUGUAUUAUUAAAAUUCUUUCUCACAUUUGAAAUUAAAAUAAGAACCAUGUUUUUCAAUUAGUCAAUACCGGGGCGUCUGUUUAAUAUAAUGAGGAUAAUGGAGAAAUUCUAGUGCGUACAUAUUUAAAUAUUAUUAAACCAUACCAAGUUAAGAGUUUAUAGAUUUGGAGAAAGGAGAAUUGACUUAGUGCUUAAGAACACUUCCUAUCCUUCCAGAGGACUUGAAUUUGGGUUCUAGAAUCUAUGAUGAGUGAUUUGCAACUGCCUGUAAGUCCAUCCUUUUUCUGUCUAGAUCCAACACCCUCUUUUAUUUUCAAUGGGCGCACACAAACGCACGCACGCACGCACGCAUGUACACCACACACACGCACACACUUAAAUCUUACUGCCCAAAGAACAUUGAGGUUGAUCAUUAGCAAUCUAUCUAAUUUAUCUAUUCUGUGCCUGUGGGUCAGAAGAAAACUUGUAGUAGUUGGUUCUGUCUUCUUACCAUGUGGAUCUCAGGGAUUUAAACUAGGUUAUUGGUUUUUAUCCAGUGAUCCAUCUCACGGACUCAUUUUGAGGAUUUUUUUUUUUAAAAGGGACUCCCGCAACUUUUUUUUUAUCAGAAUUUAUGGGUUAUUGCUAGUGUCUUUUUAUAAUUGAUAUUUGAAGAUAAUAAUGAUUAAAGGUUAAUAUGAAAGGAAUGAGAUAAGAAUACAAAACACAGUUAAAGUAAAAUAGAUCGAACUCAAAUGAUACUUUUAGAAAACAAAAAAUAAAAACAUGGCACUUUACCAGGUAUUGGUAUGACUUAAAUGAUUAGAUAGUCAGUGGAAGAAGAGGCUAUAAAAUGUUAAAAUGCCUAAUUGCAAUGUGGACUAAAAAGAAUUAGAAGAUAAAUUGGGUUUAUUUGUUGUCUAAAACUACCUGAUCUCAUUGUUUCUCUGAAUGCCUCAGUAUAUCAUUUUUAUCCUAUAUUAAACAUCAUACUUUUAUGCAAAAUAGCAGUUCACAUUCUUUUCACCUUACUGGGAAUUAUUCAUUUCUGGUUGUCUGAUUUGAUACGUAGCAAUCUUUGAAAAACAGAGUCUUGACAUGUAACUCAGGUUAGCUUUGAUCUUAUUGGCCUAGUCCCCCUGUCUCAGUGCCAAAGUUUUGGGACUACAGGUAUGAGUCACAAUAUCUGGUUCAAAAUUUGUGAAUUUUAUUCUCAGUUUUAAAUGGUUACAUAUUAACACC
rnacentral:lncRNA from 1 species